rnacentral:rRNA from 1 species
UACGUAGGGUGCGAGCGUUAAUCGGAAUUACUGGGCGUAAAGCGUGCGCAGGCGGCGCGUUAAGACAGGUGUGAAAGCCCCGAGCUUAACUUGGGAAUUGCGCUUGUGACUGGCGUGCUGGAGUGUGGCAGAGGGAGGUGGAAUUUACGGUGUAGCGGUGAAAUGCGUAGAUAUCGUAAGGAAGACCAGUGGCGAAGGCGGGUCUCUGGACAGUUCCUGACACUGAGGCACGAAGGCCAGGGGAGCAAACGGG